UACGUAGGGGGCAAGCGUUGUUCGGAAUUACUGGGCGUAAAGGGCGCGUAGGCGGCAUGGCAAGUCGGGAGUGAAAGCCCGGGGCUCAACCCCGGAACUGCUUUCGAAACUGCCAAGCUAGAGUACGGAAGGGGCAACUGGAAUUCCCAGUGUAGCGGUGAAAUGCGCAGAUAUCAGGAGGAACACCGGUGGCGAAGGCGGCACUCUGGGCCAGUACUGACGCUGAGGAGCGAAAGCUAGGGGAGCAAAC
rnacentral:rRNA from 1 species